UACGAAGGGGGCUAGCGUUGUUCGGAAUUACUGGGCGUAAAGCGCACGUAGGCGGACUAUUAAGUCUGGGGUGAAAUCCUGGAGCUCAACUCCGGAACUGCCUUUGAUACUGGUAGCCUAGAGAUCGGAGGAGGUUAGUGGAAUUCCCAGUGUAGAGGUGAAAUUCGUAGAUAUUGGGAAGAACACCAGUGGCGAAGGCGGCUAACUGGUCCGAUACUGACGCUGAGGUGCGAAAGCGUGGGGAGCAGACAGG
rnacentral:rRNA from 1 species